CGGUAAUUCCAGCUCCAAUAGCGUAUACUAAAGUUGUUGCAGUUAAAAAGCUCGUAGUUGGAUUUCUGCGGGGACGGAGCGGCCGGACGCAACUUGCGUCUCGAGCUAGCGCUUUCCCCGCAUCCUGCCGCGAACCGUGCUACCAUUAGUUUGGUGGCGCUGGGGAUCGGCUCGAUUACUUUGAGAAAAAUAGAGUGUUCAAAGCAGGCCACACGCCUUGAAUAAGUUAGCAUGGAAUAAUGACUAAGGACUUCGGUUCUAUUUUGUUGGUGUUCGGGACUGAAGUAAUGAUUGAUAGGGACAGUUGGGGCGGUCUGUAUUCCAAAGCGAGAGGUGAAAUUCUUAGACCUUCGGAAGACAAACAGCUGCGAAAGCGUUCCGCAAGGAUGUUCCCUUUGAUCAAGAACGAAAGUUGGGGGAUCGAAGACGAUCAGAUACCGUCGUAGUCUCAACUAUAAACUAUACCAGCUAGGGAUCGGUCAACGUUUAAUUAUUCGACUUGAUCGGCACCUUAUGAGAAAUCAAAGCAUCUGGGUUCCGGGGGGAGUAUGGUCGCAAGGCUGAAACUUAAAGGAAUUGACGGAAGGGCACCACCAGCCGUGGAGCCUGUGGCUUAAUUUGACUCAACACAGGAAAACUUACCAGGUCCAGACAUAGUAAGGAUUGACAGAUUGAUAGCUCUUUCUUGAUUCUGUGGGUGGUGGUGCAUGGCCGUUCUUAGUUGGUGGAGUGAUUUGUCUGGUUAAUUCCGUUAACGAACGAGACCCCAGCCUGCUAAAUAGCGCGGUUGAGCUUUGCUCGAUGCGAGCUUCUUAGAGGGACUAUGAUGCGCGAUAGCACAUGGAAGUUUGGGGCAAUAACAGGUCUGUGAUGCCCUUAGAUGUUCUGGGCCGCACACGGGCUACACUGGCGCCUGCAACGAGCAUAUCAGCUGGCCCGAGAGGGUCUUGGCUAAUCUUUUGAACCGGCGCCGUGCUUGGGAUUGACCUUUGCAAUUGUUGGUCAUGCAACGAGGAAUGCCUUGUAAACGCGAGUCAUCAGCUCGCAUUGAAUACGUCCCUGCCCUUUGUACACACCGCCCGUCGCUCCUACCGAUGAAUGUUCCGAUGAAAUUUUCGGAGAGCGCCAGAGAACGGGGCUCCGCCUUGCAGAUCUGGAGGCUCAAAGUCACUUAAAUCUGAACAUUUCGAGGAAGGAGAAGUCGUAACAAGGUAGCCG
rnacentral:rRNA from 1 species